ensembl:lncRNA
CUCCUGCUUCCUAUACAGACUCCUUGCUUCUAUUUCCUAUCUUUUCUGUCGCCCUUCUCCCCUUCCCCAUCUCCCUGAAUGACUAGGAUUUGUAAUAAACUGCUCAGACCAACAUUUGAACCAUUGUUUCUUAAUCUCAUGCCAGGUAUACAAACAUCAAAGAACCUCCUCUCCCUCUGAUAAAUUGGAGCGAGACAAAGAGAGAGAAGGGACUUAUGCUGUUUUCCUCACAAAAGGGUGUCUACUUUGUAUAUGACAAUUCUGCCUAAGUUUACCAUUUUGUUCCACAAAUACCUUAUGAACAUUUUUUGUUCAUUCCAUGACC